AGUAAAUAGAUACCCGUGGUAGUCCACGCCGUAAACGAUGUCGACUUGGAGGUUGUGCCCUUCGACGGCGGUGGCUUCCGGAAGCUAAAACGCGUUAAGUCGACCGCCGUGGGGAGUACGGCCGCAAGGUUAAAAACUCAAAUGAAUUGGACCGGGGGCCCGCAACAAGCGGUGGAGCAUGUGGUUUAAUUCGAUGCAACGCGAAGGACCUUACCUACUCUUGACAUCCAGAGAACUUAGCAGAAGAUGUUUUGGUGCCUCGGGAACUCUGAGACAGGUGCUGCAUGGCUGUCGUCAGCUCGUGUUGUG
rnacentral:rRNA from 1 species